AGGCCUGGAGAAUUGUGUUUUCGGCAUGUCAGUAUUAUUUAACUAGGAAAUAGUCAGUCGGAGCUCAACACUGAAGUGAAAGGAUAGUUUCUGGAUAGUCGGCUCGCCUGGAGACGUAUCAGUUCCAGGCAUGGGCAGGUACACCGGACUUCCAGUAGCUCCGGAUUCCAUUGAUUGUACAGAAGAAUGCAACUGGUAACGCAGCUCCCCUUCAGCAUAUAGCUGAGAUCUCUUUGGAUAGGCGCUGAGCCGGCAUACAAACAGCUGUAGGUACGUAAAUUCGCCAACGCUAUCAAUAAAUGACAAAAUUUCUGGAAACAGCAUGGCCUUCUAGACCAGUACCAGGCAACAGAAAAGAGGCCCAGCAAACCACGCAACACUUGGACUAUCCCUUCGUACUGCUUUCACUUGCAGAAGUGCUCUCCCUACUAGUGAGCUCUGCCUCGCUCCAACGAUGUUCACUUCAGGUGCAAAAGUGAUAAAGCUACUACACACAUCAAACACAAAGGCACAGAAUAUACCGAUUCUGUAACCCAAAUAUAUUUCCUUUAUGAUUCGUUGCAAAAA